UGCCUACGGGGCGCAGCAGUGGGGAAUAUUGCACAAUGGGGGAAACCCUGAUGCAGCAACGCCGCGUGAGUGAAGAAGUCAUUCGUGAUGUAAAGCUCUAUCAGCAGGGAAGAAAAUGACGGUACCUGAGUAAGAAGCCCCGGCUAACUACGUGCCAGCAGCCGCGGUAAUACGUAGGGGGCAAGCGUUAUCCGGAUUUAUUGGGUGUAAAGGGCGUGUAGGCGGGAGCGCAAGUCAGAUGUGAAAACUCAGGGCUCAACCCUGAGCCUGCAUUUGAAACUGUGUUUCU
rnacentral:rRNA from 1 species